AGAAUCAACGCUGGCGGCGUGCCUAACACAUGCAAGUCGAACGCGAAAGCCCCGCAAGGGGCAAGUAGAGUGGCAAACGGGUGAGUAACACGUGGGUGACCUGCCUUCGAGUGGGGGAUAACGUCCCGAAAGGGACGCUAAUACCGCAUGACAUCCUGUCUUUGGACAGACGGAGAUCAAAGCUGGGGAUCGCAAGACCUGGCGCUUGAAGAGGGGCCCGCGCCUGAUUAGCUAGUUAGUGAGGUAACGGCUCACCAAGGCUACGAUCAGUAUCCGGCUGAGACGGG
rnacentral:rRNA from 1 species